UACGAAGGGGGCUAGCGUUGCUCGGAAUGACUGGGCGUAAAGGGCGCGUAGGCGGACUGCACAGUCAGGCGUGAAAUUCCUGGGCUUAACCUGGGGACUGCGUCUGAGACGUGUGAUCUAGAGUGAGGAAGAGGGUCGUGGAAUUUCCAGUGUAGAGGUGAAAUUCGUAGAUAUUGGAGAGAACACCGGUGGCGAAGGCGGCGACCUGGUCCUUUACUGACGCUGAGGCGCGAAAGCGUGGGGAGCAAACAGGGAUUAGAUACCCUGGUAGUCCACGCUGUAAACGAUGUGUGCUUGAUGUUGGGGUGCUUAGCACUUCAGUGUCGGAGCUAACGCGGUAAGCACACCGCCUGGGGAGUACGGCCGCAAGGUUGAAACUCA
rnacentral:rRNA from 1 species